GUGCUCACGUCAGCAGCACAUAUACUGAAACUGGAACGGUACGAAGAAGAUUAGCAUGACCCCCACUGCGAGGAUGAUAUGCAAAUUCAUGAAGCGUUAAAAAAAUUA
ensembl:snRNA U6 U6 spliceosomal RNA